CAACACUCCCCACCAAGGAGACUGCUCGCAGUCGGCCUUCUCAAGUCAAAUCAGGAAUUCUCCCUUUCUUUCCCAGAGGAGGUAAGAAGUUCCCCACUAUUCAUGGAAAUCAAGGGCUGGGCUCUGCGAGUAGAAUACAUCACCAGCCCAGCCCUUCACUAUCUCAGAGCUCUGCCAUUGUGCAAUGGUACGACCAGGCGUGGGAUGCAGAGUCACUAAAAGAAGUAAACUCCUGUAUUUUGCCUGUUCAGUUGCUUUAAAACAUUUCAGAAUAACCAAAAGCCAGGAGUAGACAGCACUGCCAGUUAGGGACCAGAGUGCCAAGCUGCAUUGAAAGAUGAAGAUGGAAUUCCAAGUUUAUGAUUUUUUGCAUUCUUCUUAUUCCACUUUUAUGCACAAUCAUAAAACACAGCGGCGAGAAGGGAGCUCAGCACUCCAGAUGCGGUCUCUCCAGCGUGUGGAGCAGCGGGAUUUGGAGUCAGGAUGUGGAUUCUAAUCGAGGCUCCACUGUUUAAUAGCUGAGUGACUUCGGUCAACUUUCUUAACAUGUUUAAGUCUCAGUUCCUUUCUCUGUUAAAAAAAAAAAAGGCAAUAAUACUGACUAUGAAAUAGUACUAUAAAAAUUAAGUAAUGUGUGGGUACAUUAAAUGUAUAUCACAGCUUCUUAUAAA